UCCUGGAGCAUGGAGAAGGUUGGCUGAAUCUACAGAGACAAAGCAAAAGCUGGGGUUCCAGAGGACUUCAGGGAGAAACGUGGCAGUGGAAUGGACUGGACUGGUGGAUGCUGUGAACUGCUGGGAGAGUACAGGAUUGUGCUCCCAUGCAAAUCCUUCGACAGACAACAGUUGUUCCAGCACCGGGAAGGUCUGAGUCCUCAGCAAGUGAUCCUCUGCCUCCAGGAUCCAUCGUGAUUCCCUCCUCUGCCCAGGGCCGGGGCGGACCGCUCGGGGUCCACCGAGAGGCCCAGAACGCACGCCCUCUGCCGGUCUCCUUCGGGGCACUCAGACUCAGAAGGCUCCGCGGUCAGCCCUCCUCCAACCCGGGACCAACCUGGAGGAAGCCAGGCUAGCUAGGUGACAAUGGCAACUAAGAACAGCAGGGGCUGAGUUUUCCCUGGGCACCUUUCUUUAUGGGUCUUUCUCAUUUCCAUAGCACUGGGCCUGAACAGCAUG
rnacentral:lncRNA from 1 species